UAGUGCCUACUAAAAGAGAUAAGGGCUUGCAGUAACUAUCCGCUUUUCGCUUUAUGCAGUUUGAAAGUGCUUUGCUGCUGUCAGAAAUGAAGUCACGUGGCAGAGAUUGCAGCCGAGAUAAUUGACUCGGUUAAUUACAGACAAGUGACGAGCUCAGCCAGCGGAAGCUCUUCGUUCUGUUCCGAACUUCCCGCCCAGCCUUGCUGCUCUCGGAGCUGCAGAAGCUGAGAAAUGGAGGCAGAACCACGUAGGAGGGAGACGGAAGGGCUGCAUACGAGCCUUUGCUCUAACACGUUUCUCAUCUGGAAUGGCUUGAAAGAAAGACUGCUUCUGCUUUGUUUGAAACCCCUCCUACAGCCACUGUACGGGAUGUGCUGCAAAACUUCCUAAAGUGCUCCAAGGACGCGGGGAACAGCUCUGCAGCUCAUCUCUGGAGGAAUCUUGCUUCCGAACCGCCAAUGGACACGAAAGAGGUAGCAGCGGUCUCUGCCAUUUGUCUCGCUGAAGGUGGGAUGGGAUUAUUUUCCAAGAAAGAAAAGAAACCGAAACUAAUUUCACAUUGUGUGCGCUUGACCCUUCAAAUCAAAUAUGGUUAUGUAAAAACCUCUGCAUAUUUGUGACGUGGCAAAAUGAACCGUGGGGAAGUUUUCUAAAAUCCCAGUCAUUUAACUUAAGGUCAAGGCUUUCUCUGGCAAUCUGACUUUGCGUGCGGGUUCACUUGGCCACGCAACGUGAUAGGCUGCAUUUGCAUGGAGGUGUUAAUUGCCGAAGGUAAGCUGAACAGUUUCAAUGUAAGAUUUUUGAUUUUCAGCUUAAGCUCUUAGUGGAAUAUUUUAGGCACUCUCUGAGUUAGACCCAAAGGACAGGAGGAUGUAGACGUUUUUGCACCCCAGUCAUCUAGUA
rnacentral:lncRNA from 1 species